AAGGGUAUAGCUCAGUGUUGAGUGCAUGACUAGCAGGCAUGAGGUCCUGGGUUCAACCCCCAGUACCUCCA
rnacentral:tRNA from 1 species